rnacentral:rRNA from 1 species
AUUGAACGCUGGCGGCAGGCCUAACACAUGCAAGUCGAACGGUAGCGCAGAGAGCUUGCUCUCGGGUGACGAGUGGCGGACGGGUGAGUAAUGUCUGGGAAACUGCCUGAUGGAGGGGGAUAACUACUGGAAACGGUAGCUAAUACCGCAUAACGUCGCAAGACCAAAGAGGGGGACCUUCGGGCCUCUUGCCAUCAGAUGUGCCCAGAUGGGAUUAGCUAGUAGGUGGGGUAACGGCUCACCUAGGCGACGAUCCCUAGCUGGUCUGAGAGGAUGACCAGCCACACUGGAACUGAGACACGGUCCAGACUCCUACGGGUGGCUG